UCGUAGGGCUUCGGUCCUGUCGAGAUAGCGUCCUUGCCUAUUUUUUGGAGUACCUUUUCGUUUCCUCAGCAGGCUUGCCUGCUACUGGGGACCCUUUAAACUCUUUGUAAAUACAGCAUCUGUCUGAAUAAACAAACAAAAAUCA
rnacentral:misc_RNA from 1 species